CCAAUCCGCGCACUUGGACCCCUCCGCCUCUCUAUAAUAUAUAGAAGGGAGAAUCUCUUCUACUUCCCAAACUAAACCUCCCAACGCACGACCACGUUUGCCCAGGGCCGUAGCAGUUGCCCGAGUGCAAUGAGGCCGCUUGCAUAAAGCACCCCUCCUCUACUCUUAACUUGUCUACGUCAUGCAGCACCACAGUCACACGUCGACGCCAUGGCGCAGGCGGUUAGAAAUGCGAUCGUUCUUCUAUUCUAUCCAACAAGGUAACUCAGCCCUUCUCCCCACACACCACCCAUUUUACACAUUUUUCCAGCAACUGUUGAAGCUUCUGUUGCAAAGUAAAUAGCUGCGAAUUGACCCUCGCCGAUUGCCUCGCGAACAAAAUAUCCAAGCCACUUAGAGACCGUUGAAUAACUCAACGUAAAAGGAUUUAUUUAUAAAACGUAUCUCUACUCCAAUAAAAUCCUGCUGUUUGCUACUCAUCAAAUAAUGUUGCUGUUGAGUCAAAAUGUUAUGCUGAUUGUGUUCGACCUUUAUAUUAUAUACUCAAGAAUGUCAUAUCAGUGUGUAAAGCGAUUGUAAAUCGCAUUUUCUUAUCGCUUUGGUCAUUAGGGCACAGCAUAUAAAGAACGUAUAAGUGCUAGUAGGCCUUUUGUAAGCUAUUGUAAAAUUCAUUAUCAACCUUAAAGCGCAUUUCUGGAAUCAAAGUAUCUUCUUUAAAUUCUAAAGGCGCUUAAAAUGAAAAACCUUUUAAAAAUGAAAAGUUUAAGCGAACGAGAAAACAACUUCCAAAGUCAUUUAAUUGCUUCGAAAUAUGUCUAGAAUCAUUCAUUGCGAUAAUACACGACCGUGACACGAAUUAAUUGUAUUUUUAUAUAGUGUUGGUCAUAACAGCACUACACAAUAGACUUUUACAUAGAUAUACAUGCAUGUAUUAGAAUUGAAACUCAAGUCGUAUGGCUCGAUUCAUCGAUCAGAUUGUAAACGAAUCGUCAACGUGAUUUGUUUCUUUUCCUUCUUGCUCCCUUGCGCACGAUUACGUCCAAUUACCAAUAUGUGCGUUUAUUACAUAACCUCCUAAGUGUUCCAGAUUGGCGCUAUUACAGCGCUCGGACCAUUCUACGUACGUCUCUACACACUAACGUUGUUAUAGACCAACGUCUUAGAUUUAUCAGACUUCAGACUCUCAUAUUUAACUUCUUUUGCUUCUUUCGUACACGUUACCGUGACAUCGAUGCGAUAACUUAUAUGUAUAUGUAUUUUAUUUAUACUCUAGACUUUUACUUUUACAUUUUUACAAUUAAGGACAUUUAACUUAAUAGUAAUUGUGACUAAUUGUCAUGCCCUUAAAUUUUUUCAUGACUAAUGUUGAGGUAUUCUUGAUGACUUAAAAACCUUUUUCUUAAUAAGUAUAUUAUAUAAUCUCACUGAUGACUGGUAUUGCUCAUCCACUUUACAAUCACUCAGUCAAAUCCUUUUUAUAAUAAAAGUCUUCGUGGUAAUUAAACAAGUGCAAAUCAAUCAGUAUUUGCAAUUAACUAAAAGAUUUAUUUGAGUAGCAAGAGGUUGUAUUUUACCAUUUAAUUUCAAGAUUUUAAUGAGGAUUUUAAUUGAAACAGAUAAAAAGCUCUGUAUUUAUUAAUAUCUAUGCAUAUGUAUCUGAUGCCAGACUGGUCUUUAUCCAGUCUAAUUUCUACAGUUGUAGAUAUAAAAGGCGUAUGCAUGACGACUUCAACAGAUCUAAAUGUUCAUCCAAGGACAUUUUGUAUUAAGGCUUGCUUAAUAAUGUCAGCAAUCAUGGGACCGUGGAAGAUUCACCAUUUGUGUCUAAAAGGUACAUAAUGGAUC